AUCCCGCUUCAACCUACUUGGGGCUUGCUUGUCUCUCAGUGUACUCGCUCUGCCUGAGUGAAGAGCCUUCUAUUUGAGCGAAUCCGGGCACUUUAUUCGGGCUCCCGCUGCGCUUAAUUGAAUCAAAAGCGGCGGCUGUCGAUGCCUAGUUUACGGCUUAAUGGAGUUCCUGGCCCAGCCGCGUUGAAUGCCGCUUUGCAUAGCAGUCUGAGGAAAAAUGGAGGCCCAAUUUCAAUGGUCGCCCGUGGAGCAAAGGCAAACGCAAUUGGAAUCGCAAUUAAUAUUCAUUUAAAACGAAUGUACAACUGUACAACUGAAAAAAGGGACGAAAAGGAAAAUUCCGCAGAUGAAUUUUUAAUUUCCAAAGGAAGGAGCCAAAGGAGGAGAAAGAAUGCUGUGGGAAGCCGCCUGUAUGUCGGCCCCUUAUGCCCCUAAUGAUGAUGAAGACGGAUGCGAAUUUCCGUUUUGAGUUUCCGGGUUUGAGUUGAGUUUAUGAUUAAUGCAUGAACAGAAGUCGUAGUACCUAGUGGUCCUUGAUUUUUCCCCCGAUUCGUCUCAAUCAGAACCGAGCUCCGAACGCAGCAGUCGAGUACUGUGGGCGGCGGUUCUUUUAUGGACUAUGGAACUAUUGACUUGAUUGGUCAUGCCCAUGAUUUUCACUGCAAGUAAAAGUUUCCAUGUUUCGCUUUCCGCCGCGAAAUGAAAAUCUCCAGCGAAAAAGUUUUCAUCGGAAAAAACUCAUUUCAUCCUAAUCAUAAUAAUAACUUUGGCUUGGGGGCACUUACAAAAUUUCCACUUGUAAUCUAUGCAGCCGAAGAGUCUGGCCAAAGAAGCCAAAUGGGAAUGGAAAUGGGAAAACAGGUUCGCAUCGGUAUCGGGUAAAAGUCAAUGAUGAUGGCGAUGGGGAUGGCGAUGACGAUGAAUAAGUCGCACAUCUUUCGUGGGAAUCUUGGCAGCAGAAGAGGCAGAUACUGAGACAGCCGCAAUGUUGUCAAAGUGAAUGCCAUGGAAAAUUAGCAAAAAUCAUUGCAAAUCAAAUGGAAAACAUGACAAGCCACAAAGAAACUUUUCCGCCAGCCAGCCAGCCAGUCGAUAGAGUGCCCCCGACCCCACCCGACCCGACCCGAAUCACAGAUUGAAUGCCGUACAUCAAAGUUCAAAAGUGUCAAACGUUGUACACCACUGCCAGCCACCACUGUUGUCCUAUCCUCCCUCCGCAUCCAUCCUCCUCCUACUUCUCCUCGUUGUGGAAGGAACCGAGAAUGGGAACACACUCCAAAACUGGUCGCCGGCUGGCUGUCUGGGGGCUUAAGCCAAUUUAUAGUUUGUAUAGUGCCAGACGACAUCGAUGCCACUGGCUUGGCUUGGACGCUUUUAAAGUUUGCCUCUGCCUGAGCUUCUCCUGGUUCUCCAUCAGGGUCGUGAGGUGAGGUGCGGGAGGGGGCUCUGGUGGCAGCCUGGACUAUCAGCGUGGACAAACAUGGCAUGAAGCAGGCAGUCGUGCACAGAAGAGGCCAGAGGAGAUUGAAAUGGGAUAAGGCGAUGGAAAAAGGUUCAAGGUACACAAAAAACAUCCGGAACAAUUUAUAUAGAUAAAUGAAUUCUCAAACAAUAACAUUUGAGUGUGGAAAAAUUGAAUUUUACCAAGAAAAAGGGAAACUAAAUAUAAAGGAAAGUUUUCCAUCGCAAAUACA